rnacentral:rRNA from 1 species
AUGAACGCUGGCGGCGUGCCUAAUACAUGCAAGUCGAGCGAACGGACGAGAAGCUUGCUUCUCUGAUGUUAGCGGCGGACGGGUGAGUAACACGUGGAUAACCUACCUAUAAGACUGGGAUAACUUCGGGAAACCGGAGCUAAUACCGGAUAAUAUUUUGAACCGCAUGGUUCAAAAGUGAAAGACGGUCUUGCUGUCACUUAUAGAUGGAUCCGCGCUGCAUUAGCUAGUUGGUAAGGUAACGGCUUACCAAGGCAACGAUGCAUAGCCGACCUGAGAGGGUGAUCGGCCACACUGGAACUGAGGCACGGUCCAGACUCCUACGGGAGGCAGCAGUAGGGUAUCUUCCGCAAUGGGCGAAAGCCUGACGGAGCAACGCCGCGUGAGUGAUGAAGGUCUUCGGAUCGUAAAACUCUGUUAUUAGGGAAGAACAUAUGUGUAAGUAACUGUGCACAUCUUGACGGUACCUAAUCAGAAAGCCACGGCUAACUACGUG